rnacentral:rRNA from 1 species
UACGUAGGGUGCGAGCGUUGUCCGGAAUUACUGGGCGUAAAGAGCUCGUAGGUGGUUUGUCGCGUUGUUCGUGAAAUCUCACGGCUUAACUGUGAGCGUGCGGGCGAUACGGGCAGACUAGAGUACUGCAGGGGAGACUGGAAUUCCUGGUGUAGCGGUGGAAUGCGCAGAUAUCAGGAGGGACACCGGUGGCGAAGGCGGGUCUCUGGGCAGUAACUGACGCUGAGGCACGAAAGCGUGGGGAGCAAACAGG